CCUAUGGGUGGCAGCAGUGAGGAAUAUUGGUCAAUGGGCUUACGCCUGAACCAUCUAAGUCGCGUGAGGGAAGACUGCCCUAUGGGUUGUAAACCUCUUUUGUCAGGGAGCAACGCCGGCUACGUGUAGCCGGACUGAGAGUACCUGAAGAAAAAGCAUCGGCUAACUCCGUGCCAGCAGCGGCGGUAAUACGGAGGAUCCGAGCGUUAUCCGGAUUUAUUGGGUUUAAAGGGUGAGUAGGGGGAAGGUUAAGUCAGUGGUCAAAUGUCGGUGCGAAACACAGGCCUGACGUUGAAACUGGUCUUCUUGAGUGAGCGAGAAGUAUGCGGAAUGCGUGGUGUAGCGGUGAAAUGCAUAGAUAUCACGCAGAACUCCGAUUGCGAAGGCAGCAUACCGGCGCUCAACUGACGCUGAGGCACGAAAGCGUGGGGAUCGAACAGGAUUAGAUACCCGGGUAGUC
rnacentral:rRNA from 1 species